rnacentral:lncRNA from 1 species
CUGGAGAAGAGGUCUUGGUGGUAUCCUGGACCUUUUAUUAGCAUUUGAAUCUAGAGGAAGCUCUCCCUGGGGCCAGGGGAUCACCUCUCCUGGACCAGGAGGUUAGCAGAAUGUUGCAGUCAUAUCCUGCAACAUUCCUCCCCAUCUUCCAACCAAAAUAAUUCGUGGGGAGGAGACUAACACAUAUGGACCACCUACACAAGGCUUCCCAGAUGACCACCAAGGUGGAAGGGAUGAUGAUGUCCAGGCAGAAGGGAGCUAGGCCGGCCCAGGCUUUUCCUCUAGGCACAGCGGACUCCAGGUUCAGCCUUCCCGGAUGGUUAGCACUGGGCAUUGGCAUUUGCAAAAAAACUCUAAGCAUUAAGCAAAACUUGUAGGAGUGGAAGAUACAGCGUUCUGGACCUCCAGUCCUAAUACCCAGCCACACCCCAGCAGCUAUGCAUGGUUCCAUGGGAGAGCAGGCAUAGCCCAUCCUGCUGGCAUAUAGUCCAGCCAUAUCUUCCAAUGCCCACCUGGAGACUAAGCCGAGUUCUGCCCAGCAACAGGAGCUCAGAGCUCCAGAGAGCCUCUCCUGGGGUGCAGACUCAGGAGAUCUUAGCUCAGGAGCAGACUUAGCCUGACUUCCUCUUUUAUAGGAGGAGACAGACUUAGUUACAGAGGAAACCAGAGUUGUUAUAAAUAGCAAGGAAGGGAGAAACCUGCUAUGGAUUACA